rnacentral:rRNA from 1 species
UUCUUGGAGAGUUUGAUCCUGGCUCAGGACGAACGCUGGCGGCGUGCCUAAUACAUGCAAGUCGAGCG